CGAAAGUAUUGACGGGGGCCCGCACAAGCGGUGGAUUAUGUGGUUUAAUUCGAUGAUACGCGAGGAACCUUACCAAGGCUUAAAUGGGAAAUGACAGGCUUAGAAAUAGGCUUUUCUUCGGACAUUUUUCAAGGUGCUGCAUGCGUUGUCGUCAGCUUGCGUGCCGUUAGGUGUUAGGUUAAGCGUGCAACGAGCGCAACCCAUGUCACUAGUUGCCAUCAUUAAGUUGAUGACUCUAGUGA
rnacentral:rRNA from 1 species